rnacentral:rRNA from 1 species
AAUAGAUACCCCGGUAGUCCACGCCGUAAACGAUGAGUGCUAGGUGUUGGGGGGACCACCCUCAGUGCCGCAGGUAACCCAAUAAGCACUCCGCCUGGGGAGUACGGUCGCAAGACUGAAACUCAAAGGAAUUGACGGGGGCCCGCACAAGCGGUGGAGCAUGUGGUUUAAUUCGAAGCAACGCAAAGAACCUUACCAGGGCUUGACAUCCCGCUGACCGGUGUAGAGAUAUGCCUUUCCCCUUCGGGGGACAGCGGUGACAGGUGGUGCAUGGUUGUCGUCAGCUCGUGUCGUGGGAUGUUGGGUUCAGUCCCGCAACGAGCGCAACCCCUAUUUCUAGUUGCCAGCAUUUCGGAUGGGCACUCUAGAGAGACAGCCGGUGAAAGCCGGAGGAAGGUGGGGAUGACGUCAAAUCAUCAUGCCCCUUAUGUCCUGGGCCACACACGUGCUACAAUGGCUGGCACAAAGGGUAGCCAACCCGCGAGGGGGAGCCAAUCCCAGAAAGCCAGUCUCAGUUCGGAUUGCAGGCUGC